AGAGUUUGAUCAUGGCUCAGGAUGAACGCUAGCGGCAGGCUUAAUACAUGCAAGUCGAGGGGGCAGCAAUGUCAUCGGCGAACGGGUGCGUAACGCGUAUGCAACCUGGCCAUAUCAGGGGGAUAGCCCUAGGAAACUGGGAUUAAUACCGCAUAAUACUUUGUCUGGCAUCAGGUGAAGUUGAAAGAUUUAUUGGAUAUGGAUGGGCAUGCGUAGGAUUAGCUAGUUGGUGAGGUAACGGCUCACCAAGGCGAUGAUCCUUAGGGGCUCUGAGAGGAGUAUCCCCCACACUGGCACUGAGAUACGGGCCAGACUCCUACGGGAGGCAGCAGUAGGGAAUAUUGGGCAAUGGAGGCAACUCUGACCCAGCCAUGCCGCGUGCAGGAAGACGGUCCUCUGGAUUGUAAACUGCUUUUGAAUGGGAAGAACACUAGCUUUGCGAAGCUAAUUGACGGUACUAUUAGAAUAAGCACCGGCUAACUCCGUGCCAGCCGCCGCGGUAAUAC
rnacentral:rRNA from 1 species